CAAUAGCGUAUAUUAAAGUUGUUGCAGUUAAAAAGCUCGUAGUUGGAUUUCUCGCUGGAGCGACCGGUCCGCCCUCAUCGGGUGUGCACUCGCGUCGGCUCUUGCGAUCCUGGGGAGAGGUUCGAUUGUCGUUUACUCGAUGGCCGGAUUCAAUCCCCUCUUUUACUGUGAACAAAUUAGAGUGCUCCACGCAAGCAAUGCGCCUGGAUAUCUCAGCAUGGAAUAAUAAGAUAGGACUCGGUUACUAUUUUGUUGGUUUGCAUACCCGAGUAAUGAUUAAUAGGGAUAGUUGGGGGGUAUUCGUAUUUAAUUGUCAGAGGUGAAAUUCUUGGAUUUAUGAAAGACGAACUACUGCGAAAGCAUUUACCAAGGAUGUUUUCAUUGAUCAAGAACGAAAGUUAGGGAUCGAAGAUGAUCAGAUACCAU
rnacentral:rRNA from 1 species